rnacentral:rRNA from 1 species
UCCUACGGGAGGCAGCAGUGGGGAAUAUUGCGCAAUGGAGGGAACUCUGACGCAGCGACGCCGCGUGAAGGAAGAAGGCCUUCGGGUUGUAAACUUCUUUGAUCGGGGACGAAAAUGACGGUACCCGAGGAACAAGCCACGGCUAACUACGUGCCAGCAGCCGCGGUAAUACGUAGGUGGCAAGCGUUGUCCGGAAUUACUGGGCGUAAAGGGCGUGUAGGCGGGGCGUCAAGUCAGGUGUGAAAUUCCGAGGCUUAACUUCGGGUGUGCAUCUGAAACUGAUGUUCUUGAGUGUCGGAGAGGAAAGUGGAAUUCCCAGUGUAGCGGUGAAAUGCGUAGAGAUUGGGAGGAACACCAGUGGCGAAGGCGGCUUUCUGGACGAUAACUGACGCUGAGGCGCGAAAGCGUGGGUAGCAAACAGGAUUAGAUACCCUGGUAGUCCACGCCGUAAACGAUGGAUACUAGGUGUAGGAGGUAUCGACCCCUUCUGUGCCGGAGUUAACACAAUAAGUAUCCCACCUGGGGAGUACGGCCGCAAGGCUGAAACUCAAAGGAAUUGACGGGGGCCCGCACAAGCAGUGGAGUAUGUGGUUUAAUUCGAAGCAACGCGAAGAACCUUACCAGGGCUUGACAUCCCUCUGACAGGUAUAGAGAUAUACUUUCUUUUCGAAGCAGAGGAGACAGGUGGUGCAUGGUUGUCGUCAGCUCGUGUCGUGAGAUGUUGGGUUAAGUCCCGCAACGAGCGCAACCCCUGUUGUUAGUUGCCAUCAUUAAGUUGGGCACUCUAACGAGACUGCCGGUGACAAAUCGGAGGAAGGUGGGGACGACGUCAAAUCAUCAUGCCCCUUAUGUCCUGGGCUACACACGUACUACAAUGGCGGUGACAAAGGGAAGCAAGACCGCGAGGUGGAGCAAAUCCCCAAAAGCCGUCCCAGUUCGGAUUGCAGGCUGCAACUCGCCUGCAUGAAGUCGGAAUUGCUAGUAAUGGCAGGUCAGCAUACUGCCGUGAAUACGUUCCCGGGCCUUGUACACACCGCCCGUCACACCAUGAGAGCUGACAACACCCGAAGUCGGUAGCUUAACCGUAAGGAGGGCGCCGCCGAAGGUGGGGUUGGUGAUUGGGGGUGAAGUCGUAACAAGGUAACCA